rnacentral:rRNA from 1 species
GUGAGGAAUUUUCCGCAAUGGGCGAAAGCCUGACGGAGCAAUGCCGCGUGAAGGAUGAAGGCCUAUGGGUUGUAAACUUCUUUUCUUAGAGAAGAAUAUUGACGGUAUCUGAGGAAUAAGCAUCGGCUAACUCUGUGCCAGCAGCCGCGGUAAGACAGAGGAUGCAAGCGUUAUCCGGAAUGAUUGGGCGUAAAGCGUCUGUAGGUGGCUUCAAAAGUCUCCUGUCAAAGGUCAGGGCUUAACCCUGGGGCGGCAGGAGAAACUCUGAGGGUAGAGUUUGGUAGAGGCAGAGGGAAUUCCCGGUGGAGCGGAGAAAUGCGUAGAGAUCGGGAGGAACACCAAAGGCGAAAGCACUCUGCUGGGCCACAACUGACACUGAGAGACGAAAGCGAGGGGAGCAAAAGGGAUUAGAAACCCGGUAGUCC